CGGACGGGUGAGUAACACGUGGAUAACCUACCUAUAAGACUGGGAUAACUUCGGUAAACCGGAGCUAAUACCGGAUAAUAUUUUGAACCGCAUGGUUCAAAAGUGAAAGACGGUCUUGCUGUCACUUAUAGAUGGAUCCGCGCUGCAUUAGCUAGUUGGUAAGGUAACGGCUUACCAAGGCAACGAUGCAUAGCCGACCUAAGAGGGUGAUCGGCCACACUGGAACUGAGACACGGUCCAG
rnacentral:rRNA from 1 species